rnacentral:rRNA from 1 species
UGGGGAAUAUUGCACAAUGGGCGCAAGCCUGAUGCAGCAACGCCGCGUGCGGGAUGACGGCCUUCGGGUUGUAAACCGCUUUUAGUAGGGAAGAAGGGCUUCGGCUUGACGGUACCUGCAGAAAAAGGACCGGCUAACUACGUG